rnacentral:rRNA from 1 species
AUGGCAUUCCUGUCUUUCACCAAAUUUAACAUGGCUUCUUGGUUAUGUUCACGGUACUACUCAAACCCUGUUUGGAAGAAGAAAAAUAAAUCUGAAACAAGGUUUAUCUUGGAACGGAAUAUUGGUAUCUAUUCAGAAGUGUUUGUAACCCUUUUUUCACCAUGCCAUGAGGUUAGACUGAGGGUGGAGAGGGGAGAGCAAGGUAGUGUUACAUGCCUUGGGGGUGCACGCCUGCCCACUUACAUGGUUAGCUGGUGUUUCUAUCCAGUUUGGAUCGUGCAACAACCAACAAGCCAACAACACUUCCGUUUGCACCAGUAA